GGUUAAGUGACUAAGCGUACAGGGCGGAUGCCUUGGCAAUCAGAGGCGAUGAAGGACGUGCUAAUCUGCGAAAAGCUUGGAUGAGUCGAUAAGAGGCGUUUAAUCCAAGAUAUCCGAAUGGGGAAACCCAGUAGAUGAAGAAUCUACUAUCAAUAAAUGAAUACAUAGUUUAUUGAGGCGAACCGGGAGAACUGAAACAUCUAAGUACCCCGAGGAAAAGAAAUCAACCGAGAUUCUGUGAGUAGCGGCGAGCGAAAGCGGAAGAGCCAGUAAGUUUUAGCUAGCGUAUUAGAGGAAUUGGCUGGGAAGCCAAAUCAAAGAGGGUGAUAAUCCCGUACUCGAAAGUAUGGUAGUGGAACUAAGCUUACGAUAAGUAAGGCGGGACACGAGAAAUCCUGUUUGAAGAUGGGGGGACCAUCCUCCAAGGCUAAAUACUCCUGAUUGACCGAUAGUGAACCAGUACUGUGAAGGAAAGGCGAAAAGAACCCCGGUGAGGGGAGUGAAAUAGAACCUGAAACCCUGUACGUACAAGCAGUAGGAGCGAGGGCAACCUUGUGACUGCGUACCUUUUGUAUAAUGGGUCAGCGACUUAUAUUUUGUAGCGAGGUUAACUGAAUAAGGGAGCCGAAGGGAAACCGAGUCUUAACUGGGCGUUGAGUUGCAAGGUAUAGACCCGAAACCCGGUGAUCUAGCCAUGGGCAGGUUGAAGGUUGGGUAACACUAACUGGAGGACCGAACCGACUAAUGUUGAAAAAUUAGCGGAUGACUUGUGGCUGGGGGUGAAAGGCCAAUCAAACCGGGAGAUAGCUGGUUCUCCCCGAAAUCUAUUUAGGUAGAGCCUUGAGCGGACACCUUCGGGGGUAGAGCACUGUUUCGGCUAGGGGUCCAUCCCGGAUUACCAACCCGAUGCAAACUGCGAAUACCGAAGAGUGAUACUCAGGAGACACACGGCGGGUGCUAACGUUCGUCGUGGAGAGGGAAACAACCCAGACCGCCAGCUAAGGUCCCCAAGUCUAUAUUAAGUGGGAAACGAAGUGGGAAGGCUUAGACAGCUAGGAUGUUGGCUUAGAAGCAGCCAUCAUUUAAAGAAAGCGUAAUAGCUCACUAGUCGAGUCGGCCUGCGCGGAAGAUGUAACGGGGCUCAAAUAUAGCACCGAAGCUGCGGCAUCAGAAUUUAUUCUGUUGGGUAGGGGAGCGUUGUGUAAGCGGAUGAAGGUGGCUCGAGAGGGUUGCUGGACGUAUCACAAGUGCGAAUGCUGACAUAAGUAACGAUAAAACGAGUGAAAAACUCGUUCGCCGGAAGACCAAGGGUUCCUGUCCAACGUUAAUCGGGGCAGGGUGAGUCGGCCCCUAAGGCGAGGCUGAAAAGCGUAGUCGAUGGGAAACGGGUUAAUAUUCCCGUACUUGGUAAAGCUGCGAUGUGGGGACGGAGAAGGUUAGGUAAGCGGACUGUUGGAUAUGUUCGUUUAAGCAGGUAGUUGGAAAGGGUAGGCAAAUCCGCUCUUUCAUACAACAACGAGACGUGAUGACGAGGCUCUACGGAGCUGAAGUUACCGAUACCCGGCUUCCAGGAAAAGCCACUAAGCGAAAGGCUUUACUAAACCGUACUGAAAACCGACACAGGUGGUCAGGUAGAGAAUACUCAGGCGCUUGAGAGAACUCGGGUGAAGGAACUAGGCAAAAUAGCACCGUAACUUCGGGAGAAGGUGCGCUUACAGUAAUUGUAGUCCCUUGCGGAUGAAGGUGAAGUAAGUCGAAGAUACCAGCUGGCUGCAACUGUUUAUUAAAAACACAGCACUCUGCAAACACGAAAGUGGACGUAUAGGGUGUGAUGCCUGCCCGGUGCUGGAAGGUUAAUUGAUGGUGUUAUCGAAAGAGAAGCUCCUGAUCGAAGCCCCAGUAAACGGCGGCCGUAACUAUAACGGUCCUAAGGUAGCGAAAUUCCUUGUCGGGUAAGUUCCGACCUGCACGAAUGGCAUAAUGAUGGCCAGGCUGUCUCCACCCGAGACUCAGUGAAAUUGAAAUCGCCGUGAAGAUGCGGUGUACCCGCGGCUAGACGGAAAGACCCCGUGAACCUUUACUAUAGCUUGACACUGAACAUUGAAUUUUGAUGUGUAGGAUAGGUGGGAGCCUUUGAAGCAGUGACGCCAGUCAUUGUGGAGGCGACCUUGAAAUACCACCCUUUAACGUUUGAUGUUCUAACGAAGUGCCUGAAACGGGUACUCGGACAGUGUCUGGUGGGUAGUUUGACUGGGGCGGUCUCCUCCCAAAGCGUAACGGAGGAGCACGAAGGUUUGCUAAUGACGGUCGGACAUCGUCAGGUUAGUGCAAUGGUAUAAGCAAGCUUAACUGCGAGACAGACAAGUCGAGCAGGUGCGAAAGCAGGUCAUAGUGAUCCGGUGGUUCUGAAUGGAAGGGCCAUCGCUCAACGGAUAAAAGGUACUCCGGGGAUAACAGGCUGAUACCGCCCAAGAGUUCAUAUCGACGGCGGUGUUUGGCACCUCGAUGUCGGCUCAUCACAUCCUGGGGCUGAAGUAGGUCCCAAGGGUAUGGCUGUUCGCCAUUUAAAGUGGUACGCGAGCUGGGUUUAGAACGUCGUGAGACAGUUCGGUCCCUAUCUGCCGUGGGCGUUGGAUGAUUGAUUGGGGCUGCUCCUAGUACGAGAGGACCGGAGUGGACGCAUCACUGGUGUUCCAGUUGUCUCGCCAGAGGCAUUGCUGGGUAGCUAAAUGCGGAAGAGAUAAGUGCUGAAAGCAUCUAAGCACGAAACUUGCCAAGAGAUGAGUCAUCCCUGACUUUAAGUCAGUAAGGGUUGUUGUAGACUACGACGUAGAUAGGUUGGGUGUGUAAGUGUAGUGACACAUUGAGCUAACCAAUACUAAUUGCCCGAGAGGCUUAACCAU
rnacentral:rRNA from 1 species